GAGAUGUACAGAAAGUACGGAUGCUAAUUAACACGAGCCAAGUGCAACAAUGCGUGAAGAAAAAAAAAAGUUUUGUUCAGUCGGCUCGCGUUAAUACAUCAUCCGAAAUCAACAAGCCAUCAA
rnacentral:precursor_RNA from 10 species